UUGAACGCUGGCGGCAUGCUUUACACAUGCAAGUCGAACGGCAGCACGGGGGCAACCCUGGUGGCGAGUGGCGAACGGGUGAGUAAUAUAUCGGAACAUAUCCGGGAGUGGGGGAUAACGUAGCGAAAGUUACGCUAAUACCGCAUAUGCCCUGAGGGGGAAAGUGGGGGAUCGCAAGACCUCACGCUUUCGGAGUGGCCGAUAUCGGAUUAGCUAGUUGGUGGGGUAAAGGCCCACCAAGGCGACGAUCCGUAGCUGGUCUGAGAGGACGAACAGCCACACUGGGACUGAGACACGGCCCAGACUCCUACGGGAGGCAGCAGUGGGGAAUUUUGGACAAUGGGGGCAACCCUGAUCCAGCCAUGCCGCGUGAGUGAAGAAGG
rnacentral:rRNA from 1 species